rnacentral:rRNA from 1 species
UAACCUGCCCAAGAGAUCGGGAUAACACCUGGAAACAGAUGCUAAUACCGGAUAACAACAGAUGAUGCCUAUCAACUGUUUAAAAGAUGGUUCUGCUAUCACUCUUGGAUGGACCUGCGGUGCAUUAGCUAGUUGGUAGGGUAACGGCCUACCAAGGCGAUGAUGCAUAGCCGAGUUGAGAGACUGAUCGGCAACAUUGGGACUGAGACACGGCCCAAACUCCUACGGGAGGCAGCAGAU